rnacentral:rRNA from 1 species
GACGAACCGUGCGAACGUUGUUCGGAAUCACUGGGCUUAAAGGGCGCGUAGGCGGCCGGGUUGGUCGUGGGUGAAAUCCCCCAGCUUAACUGGGGAACUGCCUACGAUACUGCCUGGCUCGAGGGAGGAAGGGGCGGUCGGAACUGUCGGUGGAGCGGUGAAAUGCGUUGAUAUCGACAGGAACGCCGGUGGCGAAAGCGGACCGCUGGCCCUCUUCUGACGCUGAGGCGCGAAAGCCAGGGGAGCGAACGG